GACGAACGCUGGCGGCGUGCUUAACACAUGCAAGUCGAACGGAGUGGCGAACGGGUGAGUAAAACGUGGGUGACACGCCCUGAUAUACGGGAUAAGCUAGGGAAACCGGGACUAAUACCGGAUAGUGCAAGAUGAGCUCGCGGCAUAUCAGCUUGUUGGUGGGGGGAUGGCCUACCACGGCGUCGACUGGUAGCCGGACUGAGAGGGGAGACGGGGUCAUGGGGACUGAGAUACGGCCCAGUGUCGAAUAGUGGACAACGGGGGGGAAGAUGGUACAAUGAGCGGAAGCGUGAGUCAGCGGCUCCGGGUGGGGAAUGAAGUCCUUCGGUUUGGGAAGUCCUUUAGACAAGGACGCGGUACCUGUAGAAGAAGCAACGGCUAACUCCGUGCCAGCAGCCGCGGUAAUAC
rnacentral:rRNA from 1 species